rnacentral:rRNA from 1 species
UACAGAGGGUGCGAGCGUUAAUCGGAAUUACUGGGCGUAAAGCGUGCGCAGGCGGUUUUGUAAGACAGAUGUGAAAUCCCCGGGCUUAACCUGGGAACUGCGUUUGUGACUGCAAGACUCGAGUACGGCAGAGGGGGGUGGAAUUCCACGUGUAGCAGUGAAAUGCGUAGAGAUGUGGAGGAACACCGAUGGCGAAAGCAGCCCCCUGGGUCGAUACUGACGCUCAUGCACGAAAGCGUGGGGAGCAAACAGG